rnacentral:lncRNA from 1 species
GCUAAAGCUGGACUGCAGUAAGCAAUGGGAAGAGGAGCGGCAGGUGAAGAUAGAGAGGCAGCCAGUGCCAGAUCCUUCAGUGCCUCGAAGUUAAGAUGAAGCCAAAGCAGACGAGGAACAGGAUCAGAUUUACCUCUUAAGAUGUUCUGUCUGGCUGCAGUGUGGACAUAUGGAACAGGAAAUGAAAACUAUGUGGAUGUUGAGCACCAGGGUUCUCACUGCAGGAGAAGGAAGAUAUAUGUAUAAAAUGUGUUGAAUUUGAAUCAGUAUGAGCUCAUGACUUAAAACAAAAAUAAAUUAUACUCCCUAGCUCUACCUACUGAAAGAACCUACAGGCAAUAACGCAUCACCGAGCACACCUAAGAUGUAUAUCUUAGUGCCAAAAUACCACUCCCCAUUGAAAGCAACCACAAAUCCCUAAUAAGUGGUUGGCCUCAGGUCUGGGGCAGGGACAUUAAAAGAAUAGUCUAGAAUAUUUUUGUUGUGCCAGAAGCAAGGAAGACUAAUGAGAACAUGUCAAAAGGACCUGGGAAUCAGCUUGAAGAGACUGCCACUGGCCAUAUUUGAGGCAAUUUGAGCAUCACAGAGAAUGGCAGUAGAGGAUUUCAAUACACGGAGUCAAAAAUGAUCUAUGAAUCAACAGGGAGACCAAAAACAGGGAGGAAGAUGAAGAGAGAAACAACUCUUCUCUAAAGAAGAAGGCUAACUAGUAAGCGUAGGGAGAAUUAUAGAUGUUUAAAUCACCCUUUUGUAAGCACCAACGUAAUAACUGGUUCAGGUGAAGACUCUCAGGACGUGUUAAAACCAUUGAGUGAAAGCUUUAGGGGAAUACAAUACUCAUUCCAUCUCAAAGUUUCACUCCAAGGAUACUUUACAAAAGAAAAAAGGUGCCACAUUUACAGUGGAGGGACCGGGCAGUUCUUGUCUUAUCUAAGUGACCAUAUGUGACAUCAUCAGUACUGGGACUCCCUGACAUUAUGAACUUCUUGACAAAAUACAAUGAGAAAUAUACAUCGCCAACAUAAUGGUUUUGCCAAAGAUAUACGGAACCCUGGUUCUGUCACAUAGAAUCAGGUUAAAUAUUAUUAGAAAUGUAA